rnacentral:rRNA from 1 species
CAGCAGCCACGGUAAUACGUAGGUGGCGAGCGUUGUCCGGAAUUAUUGGGCGUAAAGGGAGCGCAGGCGGACAUAUAAGUCCAUCUUAAAAGUGCGGGGCUCAACUCCGUGAGGGGAUGGAAACUGUAUGCCUUGAGUGCAGGAGAGGAAAGCGGAAUUCCCAGUGUAGCGGUGAAAUGCGUAGAUAUUGGGAGGAACACCAGUGGCGAAGGCGGCUUUCUGGACUGUAACUGACGCUGAGGCUCGGAAGCCAGGGGAGCGAACGGGAUUAGAGACCCCUGUAGUCCCUGUCUCUUAUACA